UUUGAAGAGAGAGUUAAAGAGGACGUGAAACCGAUGAGGUGGAAACGGAUAGAGCCAGCGUAUCUGGCCUGCAUUCAACCGUCUCGUGGACAGCGCUCGUGCGGCUGGCGACCCCAGAUUGGGACAGUACGUGCAGGGCUCGGCUGACUAUGGGUGGUGCAUUUGCAGGCUGUGUGCGCCGAGACGCUUGGCGCAGCAGUGUGAAUUCGGUUUUGAGGCCAGCUUGCUGGUACCCGAACUUGGGGGAAUGCUGUUUGCUCUGAGUGUAAUUGAUGGUCAUGGCUUACCGGCUUAGUUGGGUGUCAGGCUGUUUGCCGGUAGCGGUCACAUGUGACACGUGCUGUGUAGGCGGUUUGGUCUCUGACAAGCCACCAUGUUCAUUCUCGGUGUAAGAGCUGGUCAUCUCUCCGACCCGUCUUGAAACACGGACCAAGGAGUUUAUCGUGUGCGCAAGUCAUUGGGCGUUGAAAACCCAGAGGCGCAAUGAAAGUGAAUGUCUCCGCAAGGAGCUGAUGUGCGAUCCUGGUUUCUUCGGAGGCCAGGCGCAGCAUGGCCCCVKMGGAASAGCKUGCAGUGGGGUGG
rnacentral:rRNA from 1 species